AGAGUUUGAUCAUGGCUCAGGAUGAACGCCGGCGGUGUGCCUAAUACAUGCAAGUCGAGCGCACUGGCCCAACUGAUAUGACGUGCUUGCACUGAAUUGACGUUGGAUUCCCAGUGAGCGGCGGACGGGUGAGUAACACGUGGGCAACCUGCCCUGAAGCGGGGGAUAACAUCUGGAAACAGGUGCUAAUACCGCAUAACAACGAAAACCACAUGGUUUUCGUUUCAAAGAUGGUUUCGGCUAUCACUUCAGGAUGGGCCCGCGGUGCAUUAGCUAGUUGGUAAGGUAACGGCUUACCAAGGCGAUGAUGCAUAGCCGAGUUGAGAGACUGAUCGGCCACAAUGGAACUGAGACACGGUCCAUACUCCUACGGGAGGCAGCAGUAGGGAAUCUUCCACAAUGGGCGCAAGCCUGAUGGAGCAACACCGCGUGAGUGAAGAAGGGUUUCGGCUCGUAAAGCUCUGUUGUUGGAGAAGAACGUGCGUGAGAGUAACUGUUCACGCAGUGACGGUAUCCAACCAGAAAGUCACGGCUAACUACGUGCCAGCAGCCGCGGUAAUACGUAGGUGGCAAGCGUUAUCCGGAUUUAUUGGGCGUAAAGCGAGCGCAGGCGGUUGCUUAGGUCUGAUGUGAAAGCCUUCGGCUUAACCGAAGAAGUGCAUCGGAAACCGGGCGACUUGAGUGCAGAAGAGGACAGUGGAACUCCAUGUGUAGCGGUGGAAUGCGUAGAUAUAUGGAAGAACACCAGUGGCGAAGGCGGCUGUCUGGUCUGCAACUGACGCUGAGGCUCGAAAGCAUGGGUAGCGAACAGGAUUAGAUACCCUGGUAGUCCAUGCCGUAAACGAUGAGUGCUAGGUGUUGGAGGGUUUCCGCCCUUCAGUGCCGGAGCUAACGCAUUAAGCACUCCGCCUGGGGAGUACGACCGCAAGGUUGAAACUCAAAGGAAUUGACGGGGGCCCGCACAAG
rnacentral:rRNA from 2 species